AGUGGAAGUAUAUCGAUAAAGUGAUUCAAGUGAUUAUAAAUAGAUCAAGUGGAUUAUGUGAUUGAGCUAAGCAUCUAAUACAAACACAGAGUUUUUUUGGAUCAAAUAAUUGUGCUUCCACUCAAAGGUUUGACAUAAAAUCGAGUAAAUGCUCAGAGUUUAAAUAAAAUCUCGUUAUUAUGGUUUGAAUAAACAGAUUAUUAAACAAGUUAAACAGAACUUUAAUGAAGUUUGUCGAUUCAUGAGGGAAUUUUGGUUUUGAAAUGUCUUGUUCCGCAAUAUCAAGAAUUUAAUAUUACAGAAGUUGACAUCAAUCAAAUUCAAAUCAAUAAGUGUUAAUUAAAUAGAGUGCAGCAGCCGGUUUGGAAGAACUCUUACGAUUUAGAAUAUUACGCGUUUUAAAGAAAUAGCAAUAACUUGGGUAUAAACGUAAACGAUUAUUUAAGAAGACAAUUUUUUGGUGUUCAUUGUUUAAUUCGAAUGCUCAGAAAGUUACUGAAAAUUUUUUUGGCGUUCAUCAUUUGAUUGCUCGGAAAGUUAUUAAAACUUUUCUGUGUAGUUCACAAUUAUGACCUUUA
rnacentral:lncRNA from 1 species